CUACGUGCCAGCAGCCGCGGUAAUACGUAGGUCCCGAGCGUUGUCCGGAUUUAUUGGGCGUAAAGCGAGCGCAGGCGGUUAGAUAAGUCUGAAGUUAAAGGCUGUGGCUUAACCAUAGUACGCUUUGGAAACUGUUUAACUUGAGUGCAAGAGGGGAGAGUGGAAUUCCAUGUGUAGCGGUGAAAUGCGUAGAUAUAUGGAGGAACACCGGUGGCGAAAGCGGCUCUCUGGCUUGUAACUGACGCUGAGGCUCGAAAGCGUGGGGAGCAAACAGGAUUAGAUACCCUGGUAGUCCACGCCCUAAACGAUGUAUACUAGUUGUUGCUAAGCUAGUCUUGGCAGUAAUGCACCUAACGGAUUAAGUAUACCGCCUGGGGAGUACGGUCGCAAGAUUAAAACUCAAAGGAAUAGACGGGGACCCGCACAAGCGGUGGAGCAUGUGGUUUAAUUCGAAGAUACGCGAAGAACCUUACCCGGACCUGAUAUC
rnacentral:rRNA from 1 species